rnacentral:sRNA from 1 species
GAGUAUCAUAUAGACAGAGAGGUAGAGAUGCCUUCUGUUAUGUGGAUAAGGUGGAUUAGCAAGUUGCUAUUAAUUGGCAUCUACCUACUCCCUCGUCAUACAACCAAAUUAGAAAAUAUUGACAACUAAUGUGCCUCACUAGAACUCAAAAUGGGUUUUCCCAUAAAAACAAGGUUUAUACAAAGGAAGAAGACAAGCCUACUCUAUACGUGUUCAAUGCUGUAACUCAAGACACAAUGCCAGUAAUGGAGAGCAUUUCCCUUCUUGAUAAAACAGUGUCUGAUCUGAGAACACUGGUAACUCUGAGAUGUGGCCUCCCCGUGAGUGUCUACUGUCUCCGAACCCCAAGGGGCCUGGAGAUGUAUGAUUGCAACACCCUCAAGGACUACCAGACUGAUAUUGGUACUGCCCAGUAUAUUUGAUAUCAGCUACCAUUUGGCACUAGGGUCCUUUGAUACCAGAUUUUGCAGCUUUUCAAGAGAAAAUAGAAAUCUAGAUUUUCAUAUACAA